AAUACAUACAAACUAACAUUUUAACAAAUAUAAACAAAAUUUAUCUAAUCAAACUUUUGAUGAGAAAAUAUAUUUACUAAAUAAUUAGUGUAAAAAAGCAUUAUCCUUUUUUAAUUUUUACUUACUUAACUUCUAAAUAUUUUAUUUAUAUUAUUUUACUCAAAUAAUUUUGAAAUUUAUUAAAUCUAAUAAUAAUUCAGUCAAUGAUUUAAUUUUUUUAAUUUUUAGUAAAUAAUUGUGACAGUUGAUUACUAUUAGUUGACAGAGCUAUUAAUUUUAAUAUAAUCUUUAAUUUAAUUAAAUAAAAAAAUUAUCUAAAAUAAUUAGAAAUUAUGAAGGUACUAAAUAAAAAAAUAAAAAUAAAUUCAGAGUUGAGAGAGCACUAUGUUAGCGCCAAAUUCUUUUUUAAAAGAUAGGUCGGU
rnacentral:lncRNA from 1 species